rnacentral:tRNA from 1 species
GGGCGCUUAGCUCAGUUGGUUAGAGCAGCUGAUUUACACUCAGCAGGUCGGGGGUUCGAGUCCCUCAGCGCCCACCG